rnacentral:piRNA from 1 species
GAAGAACCUAGAACGUACCUUCCCCUCAUGU